UGGCAUGAAAACUAUUACCAAUUAUUCAUCAUGCAUAUUCCUCAAUGUCUUUCCUAUUUGUAUUGUUGAUUUUUCGAUAAAGGAAAGUAGUCUUAAUACUCUAUCUCUGUGAAGAAGUAUUUAGGCAAUUUGUUUCAAAUAAGGAAAAAUGCUUUCUUUUUGGUAUGCCUUAUUUGAGGGGGAAUUUUCUUUUUAGAAAGAAAUGAGAUGCAUGAAUGUUUAUUGAUGAUGUCUCUCUUGUAUGUCAAC
rnacentral:lncRNA from 1 species